rnacentral:tRNA from 4 species
GGAGAGGUGCUCGAGUGGUUGAAGAGGCACGCCUGGAAAGUGUGUAAACGCCAAAAGCGUUUCGCGGGUUCGAAUCCCGCCCUCUCCGCAA